CUUCCCUCCUUAUAAGCACAUCAACCACCUGCAGAACACAAGGAAAGGUCAAUAGCACCCUUUUCAAUCGCCAGUCAAACAGCAGCGAACUACAGCGUUUGUCAGAGAAUGGACAACACAGUUGUCUUGAGUUUAUUAUUUGUAGUCACAUUCUCUCAUGGAGUUUGGAGCGAGAUCAAACUGGACCAGUCUCCAUCUGAGGUGAAAAGACCUGGAGAGACGGUGAAGAUGUCAUGCAUCAUAUCUGGGUUCAACAUGGCAAGCUACUAUAUGCACUGGAUACGACAGAGGCCAGGGAGAGGGCUGGAGUGGAUCGGGCGGAUGGACGCGGGGAAAAACUCUGCAAUCUAUGGCAGCUCCUUUCAAAGUCGUUUCAUCAUGACUGAAGAUGUGUCCAGCAGCACUCAGUACCUGGAGGUCAGGACUCUGACAGCAGACGAUGCUGCGGUUUACUUCUGUGCCCGAGAUAUACUGGGAGUACUGUGAGUAUGGUUUUGAUUACUGGGGCAAAGGAACAACGGUUUCAGUAACAUCAG